ACAACCUGGUCCUCAGUGUAGCCCAGGGUGCCCUUUAGUGAGUCCUCAGAUACCUGCUUCACCACCUUCUUGAUGUCAUCAUACUUGGCAGGUUUCUCCAGAAGGCAUGUCAGAUCCACAAUGGAUACACAGAAGGCCAUGCCAGUGAACUUCCCAUUCAACUCUGAGAUGACCUUGCCCACAGCCUUGGCAGUACCAGUGGAUACAGGCAUGAUGUUCUGGGCUGCCCCACGGCCAUCACACCACAGCUUUCCAGAGGGGCCAUCCACAGUCUUCUGAGUGGCUGUGAUGGCGUGGACUGUGGUCAUGAGCCCUUCCACGAUGCCAGAGUUGUCAUGGAUGACCUUGGCCAGGGAGGCUAAACAGUUGAUGGUGCAAGAUGCAUUACUGACAGUCUUGAGUGAAUUGUCAUAUUUCACUCUUGAGUGAGUUGCCAUAUUUCUCG
rnacentral:lncRNA from 1 species